GGUAUUGAAAUAAGAUUUUAAAUGAGUGCUAAGAGAAUGAUUAAACAAUUAAAAGCUUUCUUUAAUUAAAAAAUUAAAUUUAAUUUUUUUAGUGCAAAAGCAAAAAUAAAAUUUAGGGACAAGAAGACCCUAUGAAUUUUUAUUGUUAAUAAUUAAAUUUUAAGUUAUUAAUAAUUUAAUUGGGGCGAUAAAAAAAGAAUAAGUAUCUUUUUAGUUAUAAAAUAAGUUCCGUUUUUAGCGAUUAAAUGAAAUAAAUACUCUAGGGAUAACAGCGUAAUAAUUUUGGAUAGUUCAUAUAGAUAAAAUAGUUUGCGACCUCGAUGUUGGAUUAGGAUUCUUUUUUGGUGAAGAA
rnacentral:rRNA from 1 species